UCGUGGCUUCCCGUCGUCUAUAUAUACCCUGUAGAACCGAAUUUGUGUGAAGAACGCUCAAUCACAGAUUCGAUUCUAGGGGAGUAUAUGGUCGAUGAAAAAACUUCA
ensembl:miRNA mir10b microRNA mir-10b